GCUUAACACAUGCAAGUCGAGGGGCAGCAUGGUCUUAGCUUGCUAAGGCCGAUGGCGACCGGCGCACGGGUGAGUAACACGUAUCCAACCUGCCGUCUACUCUUGGACAGCCUUCUGAAAGGAAGAUUAAUACAAGAUGGCAUCAUGAGUCCACAUGUUCACAUGAUUAAAGGUAUUCCGGUAGACGAUGGGGAUGCGUUCCAUUAGAUAGUAGGCGGGGUAACGGCCCACCUAGUCUUCGAUGGAUAGGGGUUCUGAGAGGAAGGUCCCCCACAUUGGAACUGAGACACGGUCCAAACUCCUACGGGAGGCAGCAGUGAGGAAUAUUGGUCAAUGGGCGAGAGCCUGAACCAGCCAAGUAGCGUGAAGGAUGACUGCCCUAUGGGUUGUAAACUUCUUUUAUAAAGGAAUAAAGUCGGGUAUGGAUACCCGUUUGCAUGUACUUUAUGAAUAAGGAUCGGCUAACUCCGUGCCAGCAGCCGCGGUAAUACGGAGGAUCCGAGCGUUAUCCGGAUUUAUUGGGUUUAAAGGGAGCGUAGAUGGAUGUUUAAGUCAGUUGUGAAAGUUUGCGGCUCAACCGUAAAAUUGCAGUUGAUACUGGAUAUCUUGAGUGCAGUUGAGGCAGGCGGAAUUCGUGGUGUAGCGGUGAAAUGCUUAGAUAUCACGAAGAACUCCGAUUGCGAAGGCAGCCUGCUAAGCUGCAACUGACAUUGAGGCUCGAAAGUGUGGGUAUCAAACAGGAUUAGAUACCCUGGUAGUCCACACGGUAAACGAUGAAUACUCGCUGUUUGCGAUAUACAGCAAGCGGCCAAGCGAAAGCGUUAAGUAUUCCACCUGGGGAGUACGCCGGCAACGGUGAAACUCAAAGGAAUUGACGGGGGCCCGCACAAGCGGAGGAACAUGUGGUUUAAUUCGAUGAUACGCGAGGAACCUUACCCGGGCUUAAAUUGCAGAUGAAUUACGGUGAAAGCCGUAAGCCGCAAGGCAUCUGUGAAGGUGCUGCAUGGUUGUCGUCAGCUUGUGCCGUGAGGUGUCGGCUUAAGUGCCAUAACGAGCGCAACCCUUGUUGUCAGUUACUAACAGGUUCCGCUGAGGACUCUGACAAGACUGCCAUCGUAAGAUGUGAGGAAGGUGGGGAUGACGUCAAAUCAGCACGGCCCUUACGUCCGGGGCUACACACGUGUUACAAUGGGGGGUACAGAGGGCCGCUACCACGCGAGUGGAUGCCAAUCCCAAAAACCUCUCUCAGUUCGGACUGGAGUCUGCAACCCGACUCCACGAAGCUGGAUUCGCUAGUAAUCGCGCAUCAGCCACGGCGCGGUGAAUACGUUCCCGGGCCUUGUACACACCGCCCGUCAAGCCAUGGGAGCCGGGGGUACCUGAAGUGCGUAACCGCGAGGAGCGCCCUAGGGUAAAACUGGUGACUGGGGCUAAGUCAUAACA
rnacentral:rRNA from 1 species